rnacentral:rRNA from 1 species
UACGUAGGGUGCAAGCGUUAAUCGGAAUUACUGGGCGUAAAGCGUGCGCAGGCGGUUCGCUAAGACGGAUGUGAAAUCCCCGGGCUUAACCUGGGAACUGCAUUUGUGACUGGCGGGCUAGAGCAUGGCAGAGGGGGGUAGAAUUCCACGUGUAGCAGUGAAAUGCGUAGAGAUGUGGAGGAAUACCGAUGGCGAAGGCAGCCCCCUGGGCCAAUACUGACGCUCAUGCACGAAAGCGUGGGGAGCAAACAGG